rnacentral:rRNA from 1 species
GAUGAACGCUGGCGGCAUGCCUAAUACAUGCAAGUCAAACGGGUGUAGCAAUACACAAGUGGCGAACGGGUGAGUAACACAUAGACAACUUGUCCUUAAGACGAGGAUAACAGUUGGAAACGACUGCUAAAACUGGAUAGGAUAAAGUAACGCAUGUUAAGAUAUUUAAAGAUGCUUUUGGGCAUUACUUAAGGAGGGGUCUAUGUCGCAUUAGCUAGUUGGUGAGGUAAGGGCUCACCAAGGCGACGAUGCGUAGCUGUGCUGAGAGGCAAAACAGCCACACUGGGACUGAGACACGGCCCAGACUCCUACGGGAGGCAGCAGUGGGGAAUUUUGGACAAUGGGGGAAACCCUGAUCCAGCCAUGCCGCGUGCAGGAUGAAGGCCUUCGGUUGUAAACUGCUUUGUACGGUAACGAAAGACUCUUUCUAAUACAGAGGUCCGAUGACGGUACCGUAAGAAUAAGACACCGGCUAACUACGUGCCAGCAGCCGCGGUAAUACG